rnacentral:rRNA from 1 species
GUCCACGCUGUAAACGAUGAUUACUCGAUGUCGGGCGAUAAACAGUCGGCGUCUUAGCGAAAGCGUUAAGUAAUCCACCUGGGGAGUACGGCCCGCAAGGGUGAAACUCAAAAGGAAUUGACGGGGGCCCGCGACAAGCGGUGGAGCAUGUGGUUUAAUUCGAUGAUACGCGAGGAACCUUACCUAGGCUAGAAUGCGCGUGACCGCCUCAGAGAUGAGGCUUUCCUUCGGGACACAAAGCAAGGUGCUGCAUGGCCGUCGU